CGGCGGCGAGAUUGGUCAGGUAUGCGUGUUCUUGAGUAUGUUAUCGUUUCGGGCCUUGUAGGCUGAAGCACGGGAAGCUGGUGGAAUUCUCGGGCCAGCAGGAAUGGCGCUGUGGACUAACGUGAUGGGGCAUCUGGUGGACUCUCACAGGCAGUUCUGUGGAGAAGACGGAUGAAGACUAAAGAUUCAUGAAGAAGCUGGAUAACCGAAGAGCAUGUGCUAGAACGGAAAACCAGAAAAUAAAAUGGUGGAGUUUGAGGCUGGACAGUUUAAGACUACUGUGGUUGCAUGUUUUCAUUUGGAUGGCUUGCUUGGGUACAAAUGAUUUGAAUAAAGGCAUCACACAUGGGUCCCGUUAACCGAAUGCACUUGUGCAAGCUUAACACAAUGAUCCUUCCUUCUGAAUUUCAAGGGCUCCUGUGACAACUGACAAGUGGACAUAUGCAGUGAGUGCACCUUUAUGUUUCAGAGGUCUCUGGAUGAAGGCUAAGGAAGAUGUGUCAGACACAUUGUGCUAAGAAUUUUGCCAUUAAAGUACACUAACAUCUGGA